rnacentral:rRNA from 1 species
CGAACGCUGACGGCGUGCUUAACACAUGCAAGUCGAACGGUGAAGCGCCUUCCUUUUUGGUGGGUGUGGAUGAGUGGCGAACGGGUGAGUAACACGUGAGUAACCUGCCCCCUUCUUCUGGAUAACCGCAUGAAAGUGUGGCUAAUACGGGAUAUUCUGGGUCUGUCGCAUGAUGGGUCUGGGAAAGAUAUUGUUUCGGUGGGGGAUGGGCUCGCGGCCUAUCAGCUUGUUGGUGGGGUGAUGGCCUACCAAGGCGGUGACGGGUAGCCGGCCUGAGAGGGUGGACGGUCACACUGGGACUGAGACACGGCCCAGACUCCUACGGGAGGCAGCAGUGGGGAAUAUUGCACAAUGGGCGCAAGCCUGAUGCAGCGACGCCGCGUGAGGGAUGGAGGCCUUCGGGUUGUGAACCUCUUUCGCCAGUGAAGCAGGCCUGCCUCGUUUGUGGGUGGGUUGACGGUAGCUGGAUAAGAAGCGCCGGCUAACUACGUG